rnacentral:lncRNA from 1 species
AAAAAACACUAAUUGAUGGGUUAAUUUUGGGAAUCUUAUAUUUACCUUUGCUCAGAGAAAAGUCUACCUCUUUAAAAUUUUUUUUAGUGUUUAUUUUAUUAUUUUUGAGAGAGAGAGAGAGAGAGUACAAGCAGGGUAGGGGCAGAGAGAGAGGGAGUCAUAGAAUCCAAAGCAGGCUCCAGGCUCUGAGCUGUCAGCACAGAGCCUGAUUCAGGGCUUGAAUUCACAAACCAUGAGAUCAUGACCUGAACUGAAGUCGGAUGCUCAACAACUGAGCCACCCAGGUGCCCUAAAAGUCUACCUCUUCUAUGUAUUUACAAUCUGAGGGAGACACACUGAGGCAGAUAGACACCAAAAGGAAGUAGACACAACUAAUUAACAAACACUGGAUAAACACAAAUAGAUAAGAGUAAAUAUUGGCUUCGAAUUCUAUCACAUUUCACAGAAGAGAACCUUGUUCCCACAGACAGAGAGCCAUCAUUAUGUCCCAGCAUCCCUCGAUUCCGCAGGGAUUGAAAGUCCCCAAGGAAAUGUGAUGUGACCUGUGAUGUACCAUUUUGGACCAGUCAGAAGGUGUGAAGGGCUUCUAGGACUUUGUUUAAAAGGGCCAAUGGAAAUGAGGAAGGAGGAGAGGCAGUGUUUUGGCCCCUGAUUGGUCGAAGAGAGUGACAAAAUGGAGAAAAGGAGGAAAGAACCAUCAAAUCCUGCAGCUGCAUCUGGAAGAAGAAGACUAAGAUGUUCCAGGUUUAAUUACCAGAAUGUGGGAGGCGACCUUGGAAGAGCAGUUCCAGGAGCUGAAUGCCUGGAUAUCGAAGAAAGAGAGUCAUGCACAGAGCUAAGUCAGACCGCAAAAGAGAACAAAGCUGUGGCAACAGGGAGACUCCUCAAGUUCUUUCUGUCUAUGGACUUCAAAGUUCCAUUUGUUCAGAAGGAGACCAAUUUUGGGUCAGAGGUUGUUUCUGAGCAUGCAGUGAAGACCAUCUUUUUUGGGUGCCUAGGUGGCUCAGUCAGUUAAGCAUCUGACUUCAGCUCGGGUCAUGAUCUCAUGGUUUGUGAGUUUGAGUCCCACAUCAGGUGAGUUCAAGCCCUGCUUCAGGUGAGCCCCACCUUCCCCCCUGCCCAUGUUCUUUGCUCACUUGCACCCUUUCUCUCUCAAAACAAAAAAAUAAAUAAAUAAUUUGUUUAAAAAAAUAACA